AUUGAACGCUGGCGGCAUGCCUUACACAUGCAAGUCGAGCGGAAAGGCCCUUUCGGGGGUACUCGAGCGGCGAACGGGUGAGUAACACGUGAGUAAUCUGCCCUUGGCUUUGGGAUAAGCCCCGGAAACGGGGCCUAAUACCGGAUACGACGCGCUCCUGCAUGGGAUGUGCGUGGAAAGUUUUUUCGGCCAGGGACGUGCUCGCGGCCUAUCAGCUUGUUGGUGGGGUAAUGGCCUACCAAGGCUUCGACGGGUAGCCGGCCUGAGAGGGUGACCGGCCACACUGGGACUGAGACACGGCCAAGACUCCUACGGGAGGCAGCAGUGGGGAAUAUUGGACAAUGGGCGGAAGCCUGAUCCAGCAACGCCGCGUGAGGGAUGACGGCCUUCGGGUUGUAAACCUCUUUCAGUACCGACGAAGCGCCGAUGAUGGUGGUGACGGUAGGUACAGAAGAAGCACCGGCCAACUACGUGCCAGCCGCCGCAGUAAAAC
rnacentral:rRNA from 1 species